rnacentral:rRNA from 1 species
UACGGGGGGAGCAAACGUUGUUCGGAGUUACUGGGCGUAAAGGGCGUGUAGGCGGCCAUAUAAGUCGGGGGCGAAAUCCACUGGCUCAACCAGUGACGUGCCCUCGAAACUGCAUGGCUUGAGUAUGGCAGAGGGAAGUGGAAUUCCAGGUGUAGCGGUGAAAUGCGUAGAUAUCUGGAAGAACACCGGUGGCGAAGGCGACUUCCUGGGCCAAUACUGACGCUGAUGCGCGAAAGUCAGGGGAGCGAACGGG